rnacentral:tRNA from 1 species
GCCGAUAUAGCUCAGGGGUAGAGCGUUUCCUUGGUAAGGAAGAGGUCCCGAUUUCGACUAUCGGUAUCGGCU